CUUUGUGGACUAGGUUGGCGAUACUGAGAGGUGGAGUCAGUUCAAUCUGCUCCGCCCCUGAACUUCUUCAGGAUGGACUUCAGGAAGGGCGGCUACUGAGCAGGGACUAUGGGUUAGGCUGGUCCUUCAGGGCCCCUCCCUCACAGAAGGCCUGGGAAGAAGGGGUUUCACUUUCGAAGUAUAAGACAGCUAAACAGAAAGGCCGUUUGGUCAUUUGCAGUCAAGCUAGCCUGGUGGUGCUUGGUGCUACAGUAACUGACUUGAGGGAGCGUCGGGGUGUUGGGAACUUCUGGGAAGAAGACUGAGAGCCUGGAGGCUCACAGUGAUUGGUAAGGAACCACCCAUGACUUGGUUUCAGAGUCCGCUGGUUUGGAGCAGAAAGGAAAAUUAUAGCAUCAGCUGGGGGUUACACAUGCCCAUUGGGAUCCCAAUCGCUGCUGGAGUCCUGGCCCUCCUUGCUCUCCUGGCUCUGGCCUUGCAUUGUCUCAAAGAGGCCUGGAAGUCCAGAUGGAGCCUUUGCUGGGGGGGCUGGAGAUGCCCUCAAACUUGGAAGAACCUGCAGCUUGUCUUCAACCACAGGCCAGAUGAGGGCCAGCUAGGAAUCCUUUCUUCAGAGCACCGUGGCCCUCAGAUGCCUUCCUCAGUGUCCCCUGAAGGCCCGAAUGGCACCAGGACUGGUCCUCAGCUUUGGGUGUGAAGAGUGUCAUCUGGCCCCCUCCCUGCCCUGCUUCAGAGGAGGUUGUAGUAUCCGCCAAGCACCCCGCAAGUAUUUGGAAACCACUAACAUGGAUGGAGGACUGACUGCAUGAGAAGGGCAGUGUGACUGCUGUGGGGUGAGGGGUGGGUCCUUGUCCCCCAGGAGUACAGCAUGAGGGAGGGUCUAGCAGAAGUGUCUCUCUCCUCUGGCUUAUGGCAGCAAAGCUUUCUCCCCAAAGCCAACUUGAAGAAGCAGAGGUUCUGGUUACUCCAUCUUUAACAGGCUACUGCCUGUUCCCUUGGGUGCAAUUCCAUGACCCAAGAGAGAGCAGAGCCACGGGCUAGAAGCAAAGGCCGGAGGCCCUCAAGAAUGGCCACUGAAUGGCACGGCAGGCACAAGGAAGCUGCAGCUGACCUCCUUCCAGUCCCAAGAGCUCCGUCACUGUCCAGGCAGAGUUCUCAGGCCUAAGGUCCGGCUGGCUCCUUCCUGGGACCACAGCAAGGGCCACUGCAACCUCAUUGCUUGUAGCCCUUGCGUUUUCCCGGCUCAGCCCAGGCAUCAGAGAAAUCAGGGCCUCCUGAAGCAUGUCUGGGUCCCUGGCUGCUGAGCACCAAGCUGGUGAGCUUUCUGGGUCAGGACACUGCUGCAGCCUACCCUCUUGCCCAUGUUUCCAGACCAGAGCCACUGGAAUCUGGAUUCCUGAGAACCCCCAGGGCCACUUGAUCAGGUUUUCCUGGGCUUUUCCCAUUAGUAAGGGCAGGUUAGUUAGGUUGGCAGGUAGAAUGUGAAAAUGCCCCCAAGAUGGCUGUCCCCCGAGGUCCACAGGCUCAUAAGCCAGUCCUCUGGAGCGCAGAUACAACCAUGAGUGCACCACGCUCUCUGAUGAGGUCGUGCUACGGGGUGGAGGGACUGAUGCAGAUCCAAAUAGCCUCUAAUUAAUUAAAUUGCCUCUGCGUUAAGGAAGAGAUGGGGCCAGGAGCAGCGGUGCAGGCCUGUGGGUGGGCUGAGCCAACUGGGCAGGGUGAGGCAGCAGGAUCACUUGAGUCCAAGACAUCAAGGCCAGCCUGGGUGACAAAGUAAGGCCCUGCCUACUUUUCAACAGGGUCUGCUAUGCAGCCCCCGCUGGCCUGAAAUUUGAUUUGAGAUCCUACCUUGACUCCCUGCCAGAGUAUUGGGACUAUAAGCACAAGCAGUCUGAGACCUUGGUUCUCAAAAAAAAAAAAAAAAAAAAAAAAAAGAAA